UCCUGGAUGGAGGUUUUAACAUUAGAAUGA
rnacentral:piRNA from 1 species